rnacentral:rRNA from 1 species
UAUACAUGCAAGUCGUGCGAGAAAGGGCUUCGGCCCCAGUAAAGCGGCGCACGGGUGAGUAACACGUAGGUUAUCUCCCCUCGAGUGGUGGAUAACCCUCCGAAAGGAGGGCUAAUACAGCAUGAGACCACGACCUUCUAGGUUGCGGUCAAAGCAGGCCUCUUCAUGAAAGCUUGCGCUCAAGGAUGAGCCUGCGGCCCAUCAGCUAGUUGGUAAGGUAACGGCUUACCAAGGCUAAGACGGGUAGCUGGUCUGAGAGGAUGAGCAGCCACACUGGAACUGAAACACGGUCCAGACUCCUACGGGAGGCAGCAGUAGGGAAUCUUGCGCAAUGGACGAAAGUCUGACGCAGCGACGCCGCGUGAGCGAUGAAGGCCUUCGGGUUGUAAAGCUCUGUGGGGAGAGACGAAUAAGGUAUGGCUAAUACCCCUGCCGAUGACGGUAUCUCCUUAGCAAGCACCGGCUAACUCUGUGCCAGCAGCCGCGGUAAGACAGAGGGUGCGAACGUUGUUCGGAAUUACUGGGCGUAAAGCGCGUGUAGGCGGCAGCGUGUGUCGGGCGUGAAAUCCCACGGCUCAACCGUGGAAGUGCACUCGAAACUGCGCAGCUAGAGUCCUGGAGAGGAAGGUGGAAUGCUUGGUGUAGAGGUGAAAUUCGUAGAUAUCAAGCGGAACACCGGUGGCGAAGGCGGCCUUCUGGACAGUGACUGACGCUGAGACGCGAAAGCGUGGGGAGCAAACAGGAUUAGAUACCCUGGUAGUCCACGCCGUAAACGAUGAGUGCUAGGUGUCACGGGCUUUGACCCUCGUGGUGCCGAAGCUAACGCGUUAAGCACUCCGCCUGGGGAGUACGGCCGCAAGGCUAAAACUCAAAUGAAUUGACGG